rnacentral:lncRNA from 1 species
GUUGUCCCGGAAGUGCCUUCUCUCCUCCCGGGUCUGCGCGGACGCGGCCUCCUUACCUCAUUUGUCCUCGCCCCUCCCCGUCCCUCUACGCGUUUUGGUCCCUGUUUGGUGCUUUCUGUUUGCAGCUACGGCAGCCCCCAGUCUUCUAGGGAAGCCAGUCAGUGAAGCGCGGAGGUCCGGGCGCGCCGAGAGAGAGUCCAGUCUUUGAGGACCGAGUAGUCCUGGGCCACCUCCCGCCUCUGCUGUCAGAAGCAGCAGCUGCCGCCGUGGAAUCCAAAAUUUCGGGAGCUGUGACCCUUUCCUCAUGUAAAACGAGUAGUCUUGGACGAUCUGGGCAUAGGAACCAAUCAGAAACAAUCGCUUCAGCAAUCAAGACCAUUGUUCAUCAUGGAGGAACCCAUGGAUACCUCUGAGCCUCUAUCUGCAUUACCAUUCACUGGGCAGCAGUCUUUUGAGCCAAGUGGCAAAUUUGGACAGUAUCCAUCGAUGCAGAUGAACCACAUCCAGGCACUGGGGAAGUGGAGGACAUAGAACAGCUCAAUCAGUGUUUGAUCCAACACUUCCAUCUCAUUAAGACAAGUUUGAUUUUUCUUUGCUUUUUAUUUCAUGGAAUACAUGAGAAUCUCUUAACUGUUGGAGUUUCCAAGGAGGCAUACCUCAUGACUUCAGUUAAUGGAAAGAACAAAACUAAAAUGCUGUAUGGCCAAAGCCACAAAGGGAAGGAUCCACAAUUUACAUUCUUGGAGCUAUCAUCUGUACUGUACUGUUGUGAUCUACUGAUUGGCAUUGGCAUAGUAGUAGGGGUCAAGUGACAGAAUCCGUGCCAGCAGUCUCCAGGUUCAGAAGCAAUUCAAGACCCUGAUGAUAGCUCUCCAGCAACCAACACAUGGUGAUUGUGCCAACUUGUUGCUCAGUUAUAAUGCAGGGCCAGUGAUUGGUUUAAGUGAAGACCAUGGUUGAGAUCAUUUGUCUUUGGUCUAAUAGAAUUUGAGUCUAGUAGAAUUUGAGUCUCCAGGGAAAGAGCUACUUGACCAAAUUAAACUAGUAGCAGGUAGAGCAUGAAUGACAGCAUAUUAUACCAUCAAGAUGUUCUUAGAGCAGUGUAUGGAUGGAUCGAUUGUACUGCCAUCAGUUGUGACUGACGUUGUAUUCAAGGAGAAAGAGAAACUUGUUUAGAAAGCACUUUGAAAGUUUUUUGAGUACGGGGGUGCCCUGUAUCACCCCGUUAUGGUUGAACUUUCUCCUUCAAAAUUACCAGACUUGGCAGCAGUGGCAAAUUAUUGGGCUAAAAGACUUAAUCAGACAUAUUCUGGGUUCAAGGCUCCUAAUAUAAUACCUGGUGCAAACAUUAUACUUCCACUCAUUCAGAUGGUUGCAUCCUGCCAGGCAUCCAGUGGGACUGGGAAUAUGGACACUUGAACAUUAAACAUCCUGAAGAAUUUUGGAAUGACAGGUUACAAGUGAACAUAAUCAGUUCUCUAUAUUAAAAAAAAAAAAAGAUUUGGGCAUAGAUUGGGCUCACAUAAUCUUUAGAGAGAUUUUUUCAUUUUUGUGAAAGUACAGAAAUUCUUAACUGCUUAUGAAAUGCUGAUUGUUAAACAGCAUCCACAGCUAUUUUGUGUUGUUUCCCUGACCCCACCCUGAAGAAAAGAAAAAUUAUGGCAUAUUGAAAACAGCAGUAUGAUGUAAGAGAAAAGAUCACAAAUUCCUUGAGGGUGGGUCUUUUCCAUACUCAUAAGCCUAUUUAUAAUAUUCAGAGUAAUUUAUUGACACAUAUUAAUAUUCCCUCCUAUCCCAUUAAUUGCCAAAUCAUCAAACAUUUAUUGAGCACCUACUCUGUGUAGGGUGUAAGCAGUACUGGGGACUUACAGUGAUAAAAGACAUAGUUUUAGCCUUAAGUGAUGUACUGUUUCACUGAAGAGAUGGAAUAUAAGAAGCCAAGUAAUUUAUGGAAUUCUCUUCUUUGUUUUUCUUUUUUUUUUUUGGCAGUGGAGUCUUGCUCUUUAAAUAGAGCAAGGCUAGUCUGGAACUCCUGGGCUCAUGUGGUCCUCCCGCCUUAGCUUUCAGUGUAGCUGGGACUACAGGUGUGAACACAGCUUGGAAAUCUCUUAACCAUGGGAGUUAAGUCUCAAAAUUCUGGUGAUACAAGUGGUUGAAACUUAAAACUGUAUUUAAAAAAUAGGAUUCGUGAAUUUGAGAUAGUUCAUAAGUCUGCAAAAGGCUGUAUAAAUACAUAUUUUACAUUUACUAUUAUUAAUUUUGUAGUAAAUUUGAGUACAGCACUCUCUUUAUCUGUGGAAACUUCAGACUCUCCCCUAUUACUUUAAUUUCAGUGAGACAUUAUUAAAUAUAAGUGGGCUUACAC